rnacentral:misc_RNA from 1 species
AAGAGGAGCAGCAUUGUUUCCAUUCACAUCAACCUUGUCAAAUAUUGGAUACUCAGCCUUGAAACGAGUACAAGCAAACUCCACAAUCUGUUCAUUGGUACCUGGCUCCUGAGAUCCAAACUGAUUACAGGGGAAAGCCAGAAUCUCCAAGCCUUGGUCCUUAUAUUUCUGGUACAACUGAGUCAGCUCAGUGUAGUUCGAGUUUGUCAAGCCACAUUGUGAAGCAACAUUAACAAUCAAGAGAACCUUCCCCUUGUAAGU